rnacentral:tRNA from 16 species
GCGGGUAUAGCACAAUGGUAGUGCAGCAGCCUUCCAAGCUGAGUAUGUCGGUUCGAUUCCGUCUACCCGCUCCA